rnacentral:rRNA from 1 species
UGGUGGAUUGAUUUGUCUGGUUAAUUCCGAAAACGAACGAGACCUUAACCUAUUAAAUAGUAUAAUUAAAAUUGAAUGCAAAUUCUUGAAAUUUGAAAAAGAAAUGGAUACUUCUUAAAGGGACUCUUCAUAUUUUAGUGAAUGGAAGUUUAAGGCAAAACA